rnacentral:rRNA from 1 species
UGCCAGCAGCCGCGGUAACACGGGGGGCGCAAGCGUUAUUCGGAAUUAUUAGGCUUAAAGCGUGCGCAGCCGGACUCAGAAGUCUUCGGUGAAAGCCUACCGCUUAACGGUAGGAAUUGCUGGAGAAACCACGAGUCUUGGGACUGGAAGAGGUAAGCGGUACUGAUGGGGUAGCGGUGAAAUGCGUAGAUCCUAUCGGGACCACCUGUGGCGAAGGCGGCUUACUGGGACAGAUCCGACGGUCAGGCACGAAAGCUAGGGUAGCGAAGCGGAUUAGAUA